rnacentral:tRNA from 1 species
CAUUAUGAAGCUAAACAAGCAUUAACCUUUUAAGUUAAAGAUUGAGAAUAAUUAAUUUCUCAUAAUGA